GACGAACGCUGGCGGCGUGCCUAAUACAUGCAAGUAGAACGCUGAAGGAGGAGCUUGCUCUUCUGGAUGAGUUGCGAACGGGUGAGUAACGCGUAGGUAACCUGUCUGGUAGCGGGGGAUAACUAUUGGAAACGAUAGCUAAUACCGCAUAAGAGUAGAUGUUGCAUGACAUUUACUUAAAAGGUGCAAUUGCAUCACUACCAGAUGGACCUGCGUUGUAUUAGCUAGUUGGUGGGGUAACGGCUUACCAAGGCGACGAUACAUAGCCGACCUGAGAGGGUGAUCGGCCACACUGGGACUGAGACACGGCCCAGACUCCUACGGGAGGCAGCAGUAGGGAAUCUUCGGCAAUGGACGGAAGUCUGACCGAGCAACGCCGCGUGAGUGAAGAAGGGUUUCGGAUCGUAAAGCUCUGUUGUAAGAGAAGAACGAGUGUGAGAGUGGAAAGUUCACACUGUGACGGUAUCUUACCAGAAAGGGACGGCUAACUACGUG
rnacentral:rRNA from 1 species